rnacentral:rRNA from 1 species
AGAGUUUGAUUCUGGCUACAGGAUUAACGCUGGCGGCGUGCCUAAUACAUGCAAGUCGAAUGGUAGCAAUACCAUGGCGAACGGGUGAGUAACACGUAGGUAACCUGUCUUUAAGCCGAGGAUAACCAUUGGAAACGAUGGAUAAUACUGGAUAGGACAUUUGAAGGCAUCUUUAGAUGUUUAAAGAUUUAUCACUUAGAGAGGGCCUGCGGCGCAUUAGCUAGUUGGUGAGGUGAAGGCUUACCAAGGCGAUGAUGCGUAGCCGGACUGAGAGGUUGAACGGCCACAAUGGAACUGAGAACGGUCCAUACUCCUACGGGAGGCAGCAGUAGGGAAUUUUCGGCAAUGGGCGGAAGCCUGAACCCGAGCAACGCCGCGUGAACGAAGAAGUAUUUCGGUAUGUAAAGUUCUUUUAUUAGGGACGAAAAGACAGAUUGACGGUACCUAAUGAAUAAGCUCCGGCUAACUACGUGCCAGCAGCAGC